GCGUCGUUGAAGGAUGCUCCGCCGCCGCCGCCGCCGCCGGAAUCACGAGCUGAGCUGUGGACUGUGACGAUCGAUUUUCCGAAAGAAUCGUUGCUGCUAUGAACUAUUUCAGCCCUGCCCUGGAAAAAUCCCAAAAAUGUUUUUGUUUCCAUCUAGCCACUGUUAUCGCGAUUGUUGAUGACAUCGCUGCUGCAGAGGGUCAUCGGCGUCACUGUUGCGGUUGCUGCCACAAAUUAGGAAUAAAAGGAAC